UACGGGGGGGGCAAGCGUUGUUCGGAAUUACUGGGCGUAAAGGGCUCGUAGGCGGCCAACUAAGUCAGACGUGAAAUCCCCAGGCUUAACCUGGGAACUGCGUGUGAUACUGGAUGGCUUGAAUCCGGGAGAGGGAUGCGGAAUUCCAGGUGUAGCGGUGAAAUGCGUAGAUAUGGGGAGGAACACCGGUGGCGAAGGCGGCCACCUGGACGGUCACUGACGCUGAGACGCGAAAGCGUGGGUAGCAAACAGG
rnacentral:rRNA from 1 species